CUCUGCACGUACAGAGAGAUCAUUGUCUAUGAGUCUAACUUUGUUUUGUUACCUGAAUUGAUAAAAAUCUUCGGUCACAUCUUCUUAGAUUAGCCGCAGACAGUAAUAUAAUACAUGUUUGAGUCUUACUACUGUUCAUGUCCUGAAUUUUACUACGUUGUAACUGGUUUAGUUAUUCAUCAGGAUAUUUGAAUUGACCUAGGAAAUAAACCUUGAAUCAUUUGCCAUCAGGUUGUCCUCGCACGAGGUGUCUUUUCCACGGGGGAAAAAAGGUCGCAUUUAAGUUGUGGAGAAUGGAUGCGGUUGGCAAAAUGAGAAAGUUCGAAGCUUUCUUGUGGCUGAGGUUUUCUGGUACCUGUGUGCAACUGCAUUGGCAAAUCUUCGUUUCCCUUGGUGGUUGUUUCGGUGGUGAUAAAAACAUCUUAAAAGUAAUCACUCUCUUAAUCAAUUGAGACGAGGAUUGCAGUGUUGAGUAAUUGAAUAGUCCUUGUGAAGUUGGAGGUUAAAUUUUACAUAGAGCAUUGACAGUAGAUACAAAAGGACGUCAAGUGUUGUAGGAACUCUUGGAAAGUGUAGAGCUUAUGAUCAGCUAACAAGGCCAAGGGCAUUGCCCUUCCUUCUUGUGAACUGUCACAAGAAAAUAGAAUUCUCUCAUUUGCAAUCCAAACCCUAUCUAAAACAAGAUAUAUAGAGAUUUGAUUGCUUCGCCAUGCAAGUUGAUUCUGAGAUUUGAAUCGAAAGUGUCUCAAAGGCACUGUUGAAGUGGGAGAUCAAGAGAGGGAUAGUUGCCUGUGUUUGUAUCAUCAAAUUGUUGGACAGAGGAUUCUUAUAAAAGCUUCAUCAUUGAAGCAAGUCUCUCUUUCAUGUGCUUAUAAACUGUGGGUUUGACUACU